rnacentral:rRNA from 1 species
UAGGGAAUCUUCGGCAAUGGGGGCAACCCUGACCGAGCAACGCCGCGUGAGUGAAGAAGGUUUUCGGCUCGUAAAGCUCUGUUGUUAAAGAAGAACACGUAUGAGAGUAACUGUUCAUACGUUGACGGUAUUUAACCAGAAAGUCACGGCUAACUACGUGCCAG